UACGGAGGGUGCGAGCGUUGUCCGGAUUUACUGGGCGUAAAGGGCGCGUAGGCGGCUUGAUCAGUCGGUUGUGAAAGACUUGGGCUCAGCCUGAGUAAGCGAUCGGGACGGUCGAGCUGGAGCGUGGUAGAGGGACGUGGAAUGCCGGGUGUAGUGGUGAAAUGCGUAGAUAUCCGGCGGAACACCGGUGGUGAAAACGGCGUCCUGGGCCAUAGCUGACGCUGAGGCGCGAGAGCGUGGGGAGCGAACCGG
rnacentral:rRNA from 1 species